rnacentral:rRNA from 1 species
AGAACGAACGCUGGCGGCAUGCCUAACACAUGCAAGUCGAACGAGACCUUCGGGUCUAGUGGCGCACGGGUGCGUAACGCGUGGGAAUCUGCCCUUGGUUCGGAAUAACAGCGAGAAAUUGCUGCUAAUACCGGAUGAUGACGUAAGUCCAAAGAUUUAUCGCCCAAGGAUGAGCCCGCGUAGGAUUAGCUUGUUGGUGAGGUAAGAGCUCACCAAGGCGACGAUCCUUAGCUGGUCUGAGAGGAUGAUCAGCCACACUGGGACUGAGACACGGCCCAGACUCUA